rnacentral:rRNA from 1 species
GAUGAACGCUGGCGGCGUGCCUAACACAUGCAAGUCGAGCGAACCCCUUCGGGGGAGAGCGGCGGACGGGUGAGUAACGCGUGGGUAACCUACCCUGUACACACGGAUAACAUACCGAAAGGUUUACUAAUACGUGAUGACAUAUCAGACAGGCAUCUGUUUGAUAUCAAAGGUCAGCUGGUACAGGAUGGACCCGCGUCUGAUUAGCUAGUUGGUGAGAUAAAAGCUCACCAAGGCGACGAUCAGUAGCCGACCUGAGAGGGUGAUCAGCCACACUGGGACUGAGACACGGCCCAGACUCCUACGGGAGGCAGCAGUGGGGAAUAUUGGACAAUGGGCGAAAGCCUGAUCCAGCAAUACCGAGUGAGUGAUGAAGGCCUUAGGGUUGUAAAGCUCUUUUA